rnacentral:lncRNA from 1 species
CUAAUGAUUUAUCAUCCACCGACGUAUCAACAACACACCCCUCCCUUGCAUCGUCAUCGUCAUCUUCAUUCUUAUAAACAAGACUUCUAACAGCAAUAAUCGAAAAACAAAACAUUCUUACAGACCCCAAAACAAAACUCUAUCACUAUAAUCUCAAAAACUCUCCAGUCCCUCUAUAUCCUCUAAAGUUUUCCAAACUCUAAAAGUCUAUGAUCAUUCUCAAAGAGCCCUCUAUCAUUCCACCACCUCUUCUGUUUGUUCUUCCUUCACCAAUGCACUUUCCUCCACCACUUUACCCUUGCCAAAGAACCCAAAAAAACACCAACAAGUUAGUAGUAGAGUAAGCACAUCAUGAGCAAGGUACGCUUUGACGUAUAUAUAUGAAAUAUAUAGAAGUACUUGAAUUUCGAAACCUUGUGUUUUGAAGUUCAACUAUUUCUAUCGAUAUUCUUGUAUACGAGGAGCCUAGUUUCAUAGAUAUCAGCCAAAUCCAAUAACUAUGUAUUAACUUUGCUAAUCUAUGUAUGUACUAGCACUAACACUAACUAACUUAUCAUAUUACUUCAUAAAAAAACUGUCAUUACAGUUUCAUAUUUUAAUUGAUGACAUACUAACAUUUACAUAGCAUUUUAUUCAAUCUAACAACUAACUGUACUCUUAACUCUUCAGCAAAAUUAAACGUCUCUAUUCCUAACAAAUCAUAUACAUGCCUUGUCUUUACAAUCUUAUGCAAUAAUAAGAUCAUUAUUUGGGUUUAAAAUUGUUAUUUCUGUGUAGCUAAGUAAACCAAAAAGAUUAC